rnacentral:misc_RNA from 1 species
GAUGAAGAACGUAGCGAAAUGCGAUAACUAAUGUGAUUUGCAGAAUUCCGUGAAUCAUCGAGUCUUUGAACGCACAUUGCGCCCCCUGGUAUUCCGGGGGGCAUGCCUGUCCGAGCGUCAUUGCUGCCCAUCAAGCACGGCUUGUGUGUUGGGUCCUCGUCCCCCCCGGGGGACGUGCCCGAAAGGCAGCGGCGGCACCGCGUCCGGUCCUCGAGCGUAUGGGGCUUUGUCACCCGCUCUGCAGGCCCGGCCGGCGCUGGCCGACGCGAAAGCAACCAUUUUUUCUCCAGGUUGACCUCGGAUCAGGUAGGGAUACCCGCUGAACUUAAGCAUAUCAAUAACGGAGGA